GAAAUGCGAUACGUAGUGUGAAUUGCAGAAUUCAGUGAAUCAUCGAAACCUUGAACGCACCUUGCGCUUGCAGGUCCUCCUGCAAGCAUGCCUGUUUGAGCGUCGCUUUAUCAUCAUCCUCGAAACAAUCUUUCCCGGAUGGUACUGGUUGUCAGGCUUUGCGGUCUGUCAGCUGAAAUCCGCGACAGAGACCCCACAAUGAGGUCACGAUAGUGCAAUUGACAUGCCUUGCGCAUGAUUCUAGCACUGGACUGCCCUCGCCGGGAUCCCUCUGUGAAAGUCCGUCAGGACCCCAAACCCAUCGACCUCAAAUCAGGUAGGGAGACCCGCUGAACUUAA
rnacentral:misc_RNA from 1 species